rnacentral:rRNA from 1 species
UACAGAGGGGGCAAGCGUUGUUCGGAAUUACUGGGCGUAAAGGGCGCGUAGGCGGCCUUCUAAGUCGAACGUGAAAUCCCCGGGCUCAACCCGGGAACUGCGUCCGAGACUGGAAGGCUCGAAUCCGGGAGAGGGAUGUGGAAUUCCAGGUGUAGCGGUGAAAUGCGUAGAUAUCUGGAGGAACAUCGGUGGCGAAGGCGGCAUCCUGGACCGGUAUUGACGCUGAGGCGCGAAGGCCAGGGGAGCAAACGGG